ACCAACGAGCAGUCACACUUUUUGGCACGCAGCCAAUGUAUAAACCAGUG
ensembl:ncRNA T24B8.12 ncRNA